UACGAAGGGGGCGAGCGUUGUUCGGAAUUACUGGGCGUAAAGGGCGCGUAGGCGGCACGGCAAGUCGGGAGUGAAAGGCCUGGGCUCAACCGAGGAACUGCUUUCGAGACUGCCGAGCUAGAGUGCGGAAGGGGCAACCGGAAUUCCCAGUGUAGCGGUGAAAUGCGUAGAUAUUGGGAAGAACACCUGAGGCGAAGGCGGGUUGCUGGGCCGACACUGACGCUGAGGCGCGAAAGCCAGGGGAGCAAACGGG
rnacentral:rRNA from 1 species